GAUGAACGCUGGCGGCGUGCUUAACACAUGCAAGUCGAGCGAGUGAGUUCUUCGGAACGAUCUAGCGGCGGACGGGUGAGUAACACGUGGGCAACCUGCCUCAUAGAGGGGAAUAGCCUCCCGAAAGGGAGAUUAAUACCGCAUAAAAUUAUCGAGUGGCAUCACAUGAUAAUCAAAGGAGUAAUCCGCUAUGAGAUGGGCCCGCGGCGCAUUAGCUAGUUGGUGAGGUAACGGCUCACCAAGGCGACGAUGCGUAGCCGACCUGAGAGGGUGAUCGGCCACAUUGGGACUGAGACACGGCCCAGACUCCUACGGGAGGCAGCAGUGGGGAAUAUUGCACAAUGGGGGAAACCCUGAUGCAGCAACGCCGCGUGAGUGAUGAAGGUCUUCGGAUUGUAAAGCUCUGUCUUUGGGGACGAUAAUGACGGUACCCAAGGAGGAAGCCACGGCUAACUACGUGCCAGCCGCCGCAGUAA
rnacentral:rRNA from 1 species